GUUUUUGGAUAACUCAGUUGGUUAGAGCAUGGUGCUGAUAACACCAAGGUUGCAGAUUCGAUCCCCAUAUCGGACA